rnacentral:rRNA from 1 species
AUUGAACGCUGGCGGCAGGCUUAACACAUGCAAGUCGAGCGAGCGGCGGACGGGUGAGUAAUGUCUGGGAAACUGCCUUAUGGAGGGGGAUAAAUACUGGAAACGGUAGCUAAUACCGCAUACCAUCAGAUGUGCCCAGAUGGGAUUAUCUAGUAGGUGGGGUAAUGGCUCACCUAGGCGACGAUCCCUAGCUGGUCUGAGAGGAUGACACGCCACACUGGAGCGGAGACGCAGUCCAGGCUCCUACGGGAGGCAGCAGUGGAGAAUAGUGCACAAUGGGCGCAAGCCUGGUACAGCGGUGGCGCGUGUGUGAAAGAGGCCUUCGGGGUGUAAAGCACUUUCAGCGAGGGGGCGUUACUCGCAGAAGAAGCACCGGCUAACUCCGUGCCAGCAGCCGCGGUAAUAC